GGGUAACCUGCCCAAGAUAUCGGGAUAACAACCUGGAAACAGAUGCUAAUACCGGAUAACAACAGAUGAUGCCUAUCAACUGUUUAAAAGAUGGUUCUGCUAUCACUCUUGGAUGGACCUGCGGUGCAUUAGCUAGUUGGUAGGGUAACGGCCUACCAAGGCGAUGAUGCAUAGCCGAGUUGAGAGACUGAUCGGCCACAUUGGGACUGAGACACGGCCCAAACUCCUACGGGAGGCAGCAGGC
rnacentral:rRNA from 1 species